UGCUGUGACCAGGAUUUGAACCUAGGUUAUUGCAGCCACAACGCAAUGUCCUAGCCACUUGAUGAUCAUGGC